GACAGAGGGUGCAAACGUUGUUCGGAAUUACUGGGCGUAAAGCGCGUGUAGGCGGCAAGGCAAGUCGGAUGUGAAAGCCCACGGCUCAACCGUGGAAGUGCACCCGAAACUGCCUCGCUAGAGUCUCGGAGAGGAAGGUGGAAUGCUUGGUGUAGAGGUGAAAUUCGUAGAUAUCAAGCGGAGCACCGGUGGCGAAGGCGGCCUUCUGGACGAUGACUGACGCUGAGACGCGAAAGCGUGGGGAGCAAACAGG
rnacentral:rRNA from 1 species